CUCAGAGGCAUCGGGCAGCUGAGCUGUGCCCCACACAGCACCAUGAAGCUGGGGCUGCUCUGCGCCCUCGCCAUGGCCCUCCUGGCCAUGGCCAUGGCUGACCUCAAAGACUCCAAGAAGGGAAAAAUGCUCACAUGGAACAGAGAGGCAGGGACGCGCGGUGGGGGCCGGCGCCGACCACACCAGCUGUGCUCAGGGUGUUUCUCUGUGCUGAGUGAGGAGUCCAUCACAAUGUCCCGGAGCACUGGGGACGUGGAUGAAGCUCAGGCAGGCAGGCAGGACAGGAAAGGAGGAGCAGCGGUGGCCAAGCACAGCCCUGCGCCAUGAUGGAGCUGGGGGUCCCACCACCCCCUGACUGCACCACAGCCCUGAGGGGAGCCAGGGGGUCCUGCUGUGCCUCCAGCAUGAUGGGGCUGCCCAGCUGCCCCAGAGUGCUCCUGGGGGGCAGCACCCCCACCUGCCACACGAAGCUGCCAAAUAAAGCCACCAAACCAGC
ensembl:lncRNA